CUAUCGGGGUCCGACUAAGCCAUGCGAGCCAUGGGGUCCCUUCGGGGACACCGGCGAACGGCUCAGUAACACGUGGCUAACCUACCCUCGGGUGGGGGAUAACCUCGGGAAACUGAGGCUAAUCCCCCAUAGGGGAGGAGGUCUGGAACGAUCCCUCCUCGAAAGGCCUCGCGCCGCCCGAGGAUGGGGCCGCGGCGGAUUAGGUAGUUGGUGGGGUAACGGCCCACCAAGCCUACGAUCCGUACGGACCCUGAGAGGGGGAGCCCGGAGAUGGACACUGAGACACGGGUCCAGGCCCUACGGGGCGCAGCAGGCGCGAAACCUCCGCAAUGCGCGAAAGCGUGACGGGGGACCCCGAGUGCCCUGCCUCUGGUAGGGCUUUUCCGGAGUGUAAACAGCUCCGGGAAUAAGGGCUGGGCAAGUCCGGUGCCAGCAGCCGCGGUAAUACCGGGCGGCCCAAGUGGUGGCCACUGUUAUUGGGCCUAAAGCGUCCGUAGCCGGCCCAGUAAGUCCCUGCUUAAAUCCCGCGGCUUAACCGCGGGGCUGGCGGGGAUACUGCUGGGCUUGGGACCGGGAGAGGCCGGGGGUACUCCAGGGGUAGCGGUGAAAUGCGUUGAUCCCUGGAGGACCACCUGUGGCGAAGGCGCCCGGCUGGAACGGGUCCGACGGUGAGGGACGAAGGCCGGGGGAGCAAACCGGAUUAGAUACCCGGGUAGUCCCGGCUGUAAACUCUGCGGACUAGGUAUUGCGUGCCCUUCGGGGGCACGCAGUGCCGAAGGGAAGCCGUUAAGUCCGCCGCCUGGGGAGUACGGCUGCAAGGCUGAAACUUAAAGGAAUUGGCGGGGAGCACCACAACCGGUGGAGCCUGCGGUUU
rnacentral:rRNA from 1 species